GCAGACUGUUUUUCAUUUGCUACCUGUAUCACCCAGGUUAAACUGUGCUGCUGCAGUCAGCUUGAGCAGCACUAUGUCACUGGGCCACAAGGAAGUUUCAGAAAUAUCUUCUUUUCCUGAGGUUAGAAAAAUUCUUCAAGCAAAGUGAGUGCUUCUGAGUGCGUUCAAAUCUUACUGGGAGCUGAGCACACACUGCUGACCUACAUACAGGGUACUGAGCAUCAUGGUAGCUAUGGAAUCAUGAACACGUCUGUGCAAGGCAGAGGAAUUGGUAAGUGUGCUUUCUUAAGCAAAGUGACUGCAGAAGUUGGUGCUGAAAAAGGGCUGUGAGACCCACUCAAAUUUGUUGGAGUGAACUGCUGUAUUUU